AGAGUUUUAUCCUGGCUCAGGAUGAACGCUAGCGACAGGCUUAACACAUGCAAGUCGAGGGGCAGCGGGGAUGAAAGCUUGCUUUCAUCCGCCGGCGACCGGCGCACGGGUGAGUAACACGUAUGCAACCUGCCCGUUGCAGGGGAAUAAGCGGAAGAAAUUCCGUCUAAUACCGCAUAAUAUCCUUUGGAGACAUCUCCUGGGGAUUAAAGAUUUAUCGGCAACGGAUGGGCAUGCGGCGCAUUAGCUUGUUGGCGGGGUAACGGCCCACCAAGGCGACGAUGCGUAGGGGUUCUGAGAGGAAGGUCCCCCACACUGGUACUGAGACACGGACCAGACUCCUACGGGAGGCAGCAGUGAGGAAUAUUGGUCAAUGGGCGAGAGCCUGAACCAGCCAAGUCGCGUGAGGGAAGACGGUCCUAUGGAUUGUAAACCUCUUUUGUCGGGGAGCAGUGGAUUCCACGUGUGGGAUCCGGGAGAGUACCCGAAGAAAAAGCAUCGGCUAACUCCGUGCCAGCAGCCGCGGUAAUACGGAGGAUGCGAGCGUUAUCCGGAUUUAUUGGGUUUAAAGGGUGCGCAGGCGGAAGCGCAAGUCAGCGGUAAAAUUGAGAGGCUCAACCUCUUCCCGCCGUUGAAACUGCGUUUCUUGAGUGGGCGAGAAGUACGCGGAAUGCGUGGUGUAGCGGUGAAAUGCAUAGAUAUCACGCAGAACUCCGAUUGCGAAGGCAGCGUACCGGCGCCCAACUGACGCUCAUGCACGAAAGCGUGGGUAUCGAACAGGAUUAGAUACCCUGGUAGUCCACGCAGUAAACGAUGAAUACUCGCUGUCCGGGGAGAUUGGUCUCUGGGCGGCCAAGCGAAAGCGUUAAGUAUUCCACCUGGGGAGUACGCCGGCAACGGUGAAACUCAAAGGAAUUGACGGGGGCCCGCACAAGCGGAGGAACAUGUGGUUUAAUUCGAUGAUACGCGAGGAACCUUACCCGGGCUCAAACGACGGAUGAAUACUUUUGAAAGGAGGUAGUCCUUCGGGACAUCCGUCGAGGUGCUGCAUGGUUGUCGUCAGCUCGUGCCGUGAGGUGUCGGCUUAAGUGCCAUAACGAGCGCAACCCCCAUCGCCAGUUGCCAACAGGUAAAGCUGGGAACUCUGGCGAGACUGCCGGCGCAAGCUGUGAGGAAGGCGGGGAUGACGUCAAAUCAGCACGGCCCUUACGUCCGGGGCGACACACGUGUUACAAUGGCAGGUACAGAGAGAUGCGACACGGCGACGUGGAGCGGAACUGUCAAAACCUGUCUCAGUUCGGAUCGGAGUCUGCAACCCGACUCCGUGAAGCUGGAUUCGCUAGUAAUCGCGCAUCAGCCAUGGCGCGGUGAAUACGUUCCCGGGCCUUGCACACACCGCCCGUCA
rnacentral:rRNA from 1 species